rnacentral:rRNA from 1 species
CCUACGGGAGGCAGCAGUGGGGAAUAUUGCACCAUGGGGGAAACCCUGAUGCAGCGACGCCGCGUGAGUGAAGAAGUAUUUCGGUACGUAAAGCUCUAUCAGCAGGGAAGAAAAUGACGGUACCUGACUAAGAAGCCUCGGCUAACUACGUGCCAGCAGCCGCGGUAAUACGUCGGGGGCAAGCGUUAUCCGGAUUUACUGGGUGUAAAGGGAGCGUAGACGGCAGCGCAAGUCUGGAGUGAAAUCCCAUGGCUUAACCAUGGAACUGCUUUGGAAACUGUGCAGCUAGAGUGCAGGAGAGGGAAGCGGAAUUCCUAGUGUAGCGGUGAAAUGCGUAGAUAUUAGGAGGAACACCAGUGGCGAAGGCGGCUUACUGGACUGUAACUGACGUUGAGGCUCGAAAGCGUGGGGAGCAAACAGGAUUAGAUACCCGAGUAGUC